CAGUAAAUGUUGUGCUGCAUGACAAAAGAAAUAAGGCGGUAAUGGGAGAUAUUGGCGGUGUUGAUUCUCCAAGUUCUAAAAAUUGUUUUCUGGAAAAUUCAGAGGGACUCUACAUUAAAACUCAUAUAACUCUGGAUUGAGUAGCACUUACAGCCUUGAAAAACUGGGAGACCACGGCGUUGCCACUGGGGGAAGGGAGUUGCUAGUUGAAAGCCAUAGGAGGCAGCAAGGGGGAGAACAGAUUCGAUGACAUCUUCAUUUUCAAUUUGGUGAAUGGAACAUGUGCUGUACACCACUCUUUCAGCUGCUGGAACUAUUAUCAGACCAUAUAUUACCCUUAAAAUAAAUUCCAAGUGCUGUACAGUAAAACAACAACAUUUUUAUGGAGUAUUAUCCUCCAGGAAACAGGGAGAGAGAAGAAAAAGAAACCAACUGAAUAGGCCGAUAUAGUCCGAUGUUUUAAAAUCCACGUUUCAAUGGAAAUUUGUCCCAAAUAGGACUCUCCAAUUAUGUAAAAGUUCCACAAAUCACAACAAAGAUCAAGGUUUGGCGUUAA